rnacentral:rRNA from 1 species
UACGAAGGGUGCAAGCGUUACUCGGAAUUACUGGGCGUAAAGGGUGCGUAGGUGGUUUGUUAAGUCUGCUGUGAAAUCCCCGGGCUCAACCUGGGAAUGGCAAUGGAUACUGGCGAGCUAGAGUGUGAUAGAGGAUGGUGGAAUUCCCGGUGUAGCGGUGAAAUGCGUAGAGAUCGGGAGGAACAUCAGUGGCGAAGGCGGCCAUCUGGAUCAACACUGACGCUGAAGCACGAAAGCGUGGGGAGCAAACAGG